GUUUGGUAAGUUGAAAACGCAACUUUUUUAUAAAAGUUGCGUUUUGAACUUUUAGAAAUACUGAAGACAAAACGCGCUCAUCAAAUGGACCAUCAGCGGUCCAUAAAACAAAACGCGCUAUGCGCGUUUUGUUAUAUUACCGUUGCAGCACAAUGAAAGACCGAAAUACCCACACUCACAUUCGCCCCUCAUCUUUGAUCUCUGCUCUCCCUUCGCAUUUGACGCCUCCAUCUCUUCUCUCUGCCUUGCUCUGCCUUCGUACCAAAAACACUGAUCUGCUACCAAAAACCAGGUGCAAUUCACAUUGGCAUAGAGCUCCAAGAUAGAUAAUAGCCCGAUUUUGUAGCUGAGGAUAUUCUGUUCUUCAUAUUAUGAAAACUUAAGCAUAGACAAGGAAAAAAUAAAAAUAAAAAGGAAGCAGAAUGCUUGUGAAACUUUGAAAACCAAUUAUUAUUAUUGUAGUACAAUUUAAACUUGGGUUAUUGGUAUGUAUUUUAUCAUCUUUUUUACAUUUUUGUGUUGUAUAAUUUAAACUUAGAUUAUUGAUAUGUAUUUUAUAUGUUUUUACAUUUUUAUGUAGUACAAUUUAAACUUAGAUUAUUGGUGUAUAUUUUAUCAUCUUUUUACAUUUUUA